rnacentral:rRNA from 1 species
GACGAACGCUGGCGGCGUGCUUAACACAUGCAAGUCGAACGGAAAGGCCCUGCUUUUGUGGGGUGCUCGAGUGGCGAACGGGUGAGUAACACGUGAGUAACCUGCCCUUGACUUUGGGAUAACUUCAGGAAACUGGGGCUAAUACCGGAUAGGAGCUCCUGCUGCAUGGUGGGGGUUGGAAAGUUUCGGCGGUUGGGGAUGGACUCGCGGCUUAUCAGCUUGUUGGUGGGGUAGUGGCUUACCAAGGCUUUGACGGGUAGCCGGCCUGAGAGGGUGACCGGCGACAGCGGGCGUGGGAGACGGCGCGGACUCCGACGGGCGGCAGAGGUGGAGGAGCUUGCACGCGGGGCGGGAGCCGGGGGGAGGGACGGGGCGUGCGGGGUGAAGGGCUGCGGGGGGGACGCCGGUUGCGGCUGUGACGGAGGGGGGGGGGCGGAGAUAGACAAAGAAGCACCGGCUAACUACGGGCAAGGAGCGGAGAAAUAAUGGGAAGAGCACGGGUAGGAAC